CUGACUUUUCCGAUGGCACGCAGGCGUCGAUGAAUGGUUGAACGACCAAAUCCAAGCUUCUCUGCUUGUUCCUCAACAGUUACGAUGAGAUUUUGUUCCAGCAGGACAAAAUAAUUAAACUCUACACAUCUUCCAGGACGAGGAUCGUCU